GCAGUUCUGAUCCCUCCUGCCUGUUUCAACAGGUGUGGUAAAUCUUGCAAAUUUACCUCUUCUGUGCAAAUAGUGGCCUUUUUGCUACACCUGAGCUGAGAUGAGCAGCUAUCAGAGCAAAGAUGAGCUUGACUGCCUGCUCAGGUGGAAGAUCCAACCCUGGAGAGACACUUCAAAGGCCACAGAGAUGCUGUCACUAGCGUGGACUUCAGUCUCAAUAAGAAACAAUUGGCUGUUGCAUGUCCAGGCUCUUGGAAAUGAAUUGUCUGUCCGAGGCAAUGCAUGGCUGGCCUUGUUUUGUUUGAAUUGCUAAUGAAA